rnacentral:rRNA from 1 species
GAUGAACGCUGGCGGCGUGCUUAACACAUGCAAGUCGAACGGAAAGGCCCUGCUUGCAGGGUACUCGAGUGGCGAACGGGUGAGUAACACGUGGGUGAUCUGCCCUGCACUUCGGGAUAAGCCUGGGAAACUGGGUCUAAUACCGGAUAGGAGCCAUUUUUAGUGUGAUGGUUGGAAAGUUUUUUCGGUGUAGGAUGAGCUCGCGGCCUAUCAGCUUGUUGGUGGGGUAAUGGCCUACCAAGGCGGCGACGGGUAGCCGGCCUGAGAGGGUGGACGGCCACAUUGGGACUGAGAUACGGCCCAGACUCCUACGGGAGGCAGCAGUGGGGAAUAUUGCACAAUGGGCGCAAGCCUGAUGCAGCGACGCCGCGUGGGGGAUGACGGCCUUCGGGUUGUAAACUCCUUUCGCUAGGGACGAAGCUUUUGUGACGGUACCUAGAUAAGAAGCACCGGCUAACUACGUG